rnacentral:rRNA from 1 species
CGCGGCCUAUCAGCUUGUUGGUGAGGUAAUGGCUCACCAAGGCGACGACGGGUAGCCGGCCUGAGAGGGUGACCGGCCACACUGGGACUGAGACACGGCCCAGACUCCUACGGGAGGCAGCAGUGGGGAAUAUUGCACAAUGGGCGCAAGCCUGAUGCAGCAGCGCCGCGUGAGGGAUGACGGCCUUCGGGCUGUAAACCUCUUUUAGUAGGGAAGAAGCGAAAGUGACGGUACCUGCAGAAAAAGCACCGGCUAACUACGUGCCAGCAGCCGCGGUAAUACGUAGGGUGCGCGCGUUGUCCGGAAUUAUUGGGCGUAAAGAGCUCGUAGGCGGCUUGUCGCGUCUGCUGUGAAAUCCCGGGGCUCAACCCCGGGCCUGCAGUGGGUACGGGCAGGCUAGAGUGCGGUAGGGGAGAUUGGAAUUCCUGGUGUAGCGGUGGAAUGCGCAGAUAUCAGGAGGAACACCGAUGGCGAAGGCAGAUCUCUGGGCCGCUACUGACGCUGAGGAGCGAAAGCAUGGGGAGCGAACAGGAUUAGAUACCCUGGUAGUCCAUGCCGUAAACGUUGGGAACUAGAUGUAGGGCCUGUUCCACGGGUUCUGUGUCGUAGCUAACGCAUUAAGUUCCCCGCCUGGGGAGUACGG